CUCUCUGUUUCUCUCUCCCUCACAUAUGCUCGCCUCUCCGUCUGUCCCUCUCCCAGCGCCGGCCCUACAGAUCUCUCCCACCUCUCUCUCUUCCCGUCGAUCUCUCCACGAACAUUGAGCUGUUGUUAGUUGGAGGGAGUAGGAAAGAAGAAUCAGAAUUUCUUCAUUUUUUUGGAUGCUUCUAUUGAUUAGUUGGAGGUCUUCAACAGGGUUGUUUCUUCUGUUUGCAUUUUGCUAACCAAAGAUGAGCUUGUAAUCACCAUGCAUGGAUGCACUGCUGCUAUAUGUGAUAAAGUGAAGCAGUCAGCAGAAGGUGCAAUUCAGGCUGUCAUUGAGUUCAUUACAACAAGAGGCAAUGAGUUGAAUGAAAUUGAUGUUUCAAGGAUGACCCAAUCUUUGCUUUCUGCUGCAAUGUUUGUAACCGAGAAACAUCUACAUCAGGAAGUUCUUGGACUUGAGGGGAGUGCUAAUGGACAAUGGUGGUUGGAUGCUAUCAAGAAGGCCCUCGAAUAAGGAACGACAUUUGAACGUGUAGGAUCUAGGCAGUUGGCUGGUUUGCAUAUAUCCGCAGGCCUCAGAGCUGGUUCCUAUGGGUUUUACUAGUGCUAGCCAACUCCAUGCAUAGAGGCUUGAAACCAUUCAGAUAACUUCAGGGUCAAGAGAACUUGACAAGAUCUUAAAGGGUUUGCCAACCUUGCAAAUUGAAAAGCUUGUGCAAAUUUGUGAACCAGAGAGUAAAUAAAAGGUGGAACUUAGAUUUAAAAGAUGCAUCGAGGGUCCUUACUGUAUAUGGCUUGGACUCAUUGCCCCAGCAGCUGAUAGUAUCUGAUGCAUAAAGGUUUCCAUCAGCAAAUUGCUGAAGGUGGCAGUUCAACUCGGCAAAUAACCGUGCAGUCUUGACAGUUUUCGGGUUGCUGGAAAUGGAAGCCCUUCGACUCUUAUUUGCUUUGCAUCAAAGACUACCAAUGCAGGACAGAUUACAUCGAAGUUGCAUGUGAUCGAACUUGGUG